rnacentral:lncRNA from 1 species
GCGUCAUACGCCCCAGAGCCGCCGGGACGGAGGGGCUGGGCCUGGGGACCCCCCGGCCUCCGCCUGCACGCCCCCCCACGCCCGGACGUGCCCUCUCCGCGCGGGGGACUCGCCUAGGUCUCCUACGUCUGCCCCUGCCCGGCUCCCGGCGGCCCCAGCUGUCACCGGCCCCCCCAGGAUGCAAUGGCGCAGCCCCCCCGGCUGAGCCGCUCUGGUGCCUCCUCACUUUGGGACCCAGCUUCUCCUGCUCCCACCUCUGGCCCCAGGCCUCGGCUUUGGGAGGGUCAAGAUGUGCUGGCCAGAUGGACUGAUGGGCUGCUAUACUUGGGUACCAUCAAAAAGGUGGACAGUGCUAGGGAGGUGUGUCUGGUCCAGUUUGAGGAUGAUUCGCAGUUUCUGGUUCUAUGGAAAGACAUUAGCCCUGCUGCCCUCCCUGGAGAGGAACUCCUCUGUUGUGUCUGUCGCUCUGAGACUGUGGUCCCUGGGAACCGGCUGGUCAGCUGUGAGAAGUGUCGCCAUGCUUAUCACCAGGACUGCCAUGUUCCCAGGGCUCCAGCCCCUGGAGAGGGAGAGGGCACAUCCUGGGUAUGCCGCCAGUGUGUCUUUGCGAUCGCCACCAAGAGGGGAGGUGCCCUGAAGAAGGGCCCCUAUGCCCGGGCCAUGCUGGGUAUGAAGCUUUCUCUGCCAUAUGGACUGAAGGGGCUGGACUGGGAUGCUGGACAUCUGAGCAACCGACAGCAGAGUUACUGUUACUGUGGUGGCCCUGGGGAGUGAGUAAUGAGAGGGGAGCAGACUGUGGAAUGAAUGAUGUGGUGGUGGAUCCCAGGAAAUGAAGG